rnacentral:rRNA from 1 species
AGUUCCCUUCGGGGACGCUAAGACAGGUGGUGCAUGGCUGUCGUCAGCUCGUGUCGUGAGAUGUUGGGUUAAGUCCCGCAACGAGCGCAACCCUUGUUAUUAGUUGCCAGCAUUAAGUUGGGCACUCUAAUGAGACUGCCGGUGACAAACCGGAGGAAGGUGGGGAUGACGUCAAGUCAUCAUGCCCCUUAUGACCUGGGCUACACACGUGCUACAAUGGGCANGUACAACGAGAAGCGANGCCUGCGAAGGCAAGCGAAUCUCUGAAAGCUGUUCUCAGUUCGGACUGCAGUCUGCA